rnacentral:rRNA from 1 species
UGGGGAAUAUUGCACAAUGGGCGAAAGCCUGAUGCAGCAACGCCGCGUGAGUGAUGAAGGCCUUCGGGUUGUAAAGCUCUGUCUUUUGGGACGAUAAUGACGGUACCAAAGGAGGAAGCCACGGCUAACUACGUGCCAGCAGCCGCGGUAAUACGUAGGUGGCAAGCGUUGUCCGGAUUUACUGGGCGUAAAGGAUGCGUAGGCGGAUUUUUAAGUGAGAUGUGAAAACCCUAAAGGCUUAACUUGGGGACUGCAUUUCAUACUGGAAAUCUAAGUGCGGGAGAGGAGAAUGGAAUUCCUAGUGUAGCGGUGAAAUGCGUAGAGAUUAGGAAGAACACCAGUGGCGAAGGCGAUUCUCUGGACCGUAACUGACGCUGAGGCAUGAAAAGCGUGGGUNGCAAACAGGAUUAGAUACCCUGGUAGUCCACGCCGUAAACGAUGAGUACUAGGUGUAGGAGGUAUCGACCCCUUCUGUGCCGCAGUUAACACAAUAAGUACUCCGCCUGGGAAGUACGAUCGCAAGAUUAAAACUU